CACAAACGGUGGCCGCGCACCGCCCCCCCCCCCCGCCCCCGGGGAGACUGGGGGGGGGAUCUGGACGCCUCGCUAAGGGGAGGGGAGAGAAAGGGGCGACGGGGGACACUUCCCCCUUCCCGGCAAGAAAGUUCGAGCAGGGAACGGGAGAACUCGCCGGUUUUCGACACUUUUUUCAAGGCGCCGGGACGGGGGUUGGGAGGUGUUGCUAACUCAAGUCAGAUGAGCUGCGGAGCUCAGGAGCUCUGACUGCUCUGUUUUCAAUCUCUGAAAUCCCCCCGCCCUCCCCACUCCUCCUUCCCUCCGCCCGGAGAUGCCCCGGUCGCUGUUCCCUGGGCGCCCGCUUCUCCAGGCGCCGGGGCGGAAGCCAGGAUCGAGAAGGAAGGGAGGCAGGGGCUCGGUCCACGCGGACCCUCUUCCUGCUGGCGGCGAACGCAGGUGCCAGGGGUCAUGCUGCGCCCCCCUUAGCGGCUCGCGCAAGUUGCCUGCGGAGCGCAUGUUGGCGAGAAACGAAGCAGCCUUCUGGGUUUGGUGCAUAUGUUUUCUAAGGAGGGUUUUUGUUUUGUUUUGUUUUUUUGGAGACUCCACUAGAGCGGCUGCAGCCAGAUGGAAGUAAUCAGAACCCAACAACGGAGAGAGGGUAGAAAAACCCUCGCUGAAUUUUCGGGCCAAAGUGUGGAUGGGACUAUGUGUCAAAAAACUUGCUUGAGCUAACUGGAGGAGUCCUGGGACCUCCAGCCACCCCACAGCCCAGAACUGGCCGCCCGACUUGGAGAAGGAGGAGGGCCGCUGGCUAGAGUGCCCUCCCAAGGCCUCCAAGGCUCCGGAAUCAUCCCAACAGUGCCUUGUGAGAGAUUUUUUAAUAUUUCUAUUUAACGUUUGCAGGACACUUAAAGCCAAGUGAUACGGUUCUAAUUUCCUUUGUAUUAUUUAACCUUGUCGCCUCUGAGAGGUAGUCUCUGCUCCCCCUGCACAGCUGAGAAGACUGAGGUUUAAGGAAAUGGAGGGACUUGUCCAAGACCAACUCAACUCCUGCUGGAAUCCAGACACUCACAGAACCUUUCCCGGAUUAUUUUGGCAAAAAAGAUGACUGUGGAGAAGAUGGAAUGUUUUCAGUGCCGAGGAGAGGCUGUGUGGGCACACAGCACAAAGGCAGCUGCUUACAAGAGGCCCCACUUAAGAACAAACCUGCUGGCACCUCCACCUGGACCACCCAGCCUCACACAGUGAGGAACAAAUGACAGUGUUUCAGCCCCCCAGUCUAGGCUUUUCUUACAGCAGCCUGAGCUAAAACAGAACCCAGAACAUGGUCAUGUCAGAAAGGUGUGGGCAGCAUCAAACACAUCCAUAAUUAUGUCAGAGGACUCCGGAUGCAUUCAAAGGAUUUCCGGGCCCAGGGAUUUAGCUCAGUGGUGCCACCACCUGCCUUGCAAGCGCAAGGUACUGAUUUCGAUUCCGGAUACCAGAAAACAAAAAACAAAAAAAAAGGAUUUCCCCCACCAACUAUGAGAUAUGUGCGUUUCCAUGAGACUAAUAAUGCCAAUGAAUUAAAACACAUCAAGUCAGGUGUGGUGGCACAUGCCUGUAAUCCUUGCUACUUGGAUAGCUGAGGCAUGAAGAUCUCUACUUUGAGACAGUUUGGGCAACUUGGCAAGGUCCUAUCUGAAAUUAAAAAUAAAAAGGGCUAGAGAUGUAGCUCAGUGGUAGAGCUCUUGCUUAGCAUGCACAAGAACCUUAGCUUUAAUCUCUAG
ensembl:lncRNA